rfam:Pteropus alecto contig47516, whole genome shotgun sequence.
GGUCCCAUAGUGUAGCGGUCAGCACAUCUGCUUUACAUGCAGAAGGUCCUGAGGUCACACCCCAGUGGAGCCA